AUUUUUCAUCUAAUUUUAAGGACACUAUUUACUCUCCUCCUUUUUACCUUAAUCUCUCUUCUCUUCUCAGGUGGACGAUAAAGGCGCGGGUCACUUCAAAGCCUCCUCUAAGACAUUAUAAUAAUUCUCGUGGAGAAGGUCGUAUAUUGACGCUAGAGUUUGUUGACCAUUCUGGUGAGAUCAGGGCUACAGCAUUCAAUGAAGACGCUGAUCGUUUCUUUCCAAAUGUUGAAGUGAACAAGGUUUAUUACGUGUCAAGAGGUCGUAUCAAACCAGCCAAUAAAAUAUAUUAUGCUAACAAUGAUUAUGAAUUGACGCUUGGAGCCGAGACAACCAUU